rnacentral:rRNA from 1 species
CCUACGGGUGACAGCAGUAGGGAAUCUUUCACAAUGGGCGAAAGCCUGAUGGAGCAACGCCGCGUGCAGGAUGAAGGUCUUCGGGUUGUAAACUGCUUUUAUAAGCGAGAAAUAUGAUGGUAACUUAUGAAUAAGGAUCGGCUAACUACGUGCCAGCAGCCGCGGUCUUACGUAGGAGCCGAGCAUUAUCCGGAGUGACUGGGUGUAAAGAGUUGCGUAGGUGGCAUAAUAAGUAGCUAGUGAAAUCUGGUGGCUCAACCAUUCAGACUAUUAGCUAAACUGUUAAGCUCGAGACCGUUAGGGGUAAGUGGAAUUUCUAGUGUAGGGGUGAAAUGCGUAGAUAUUAGAAGGAACACCAAUGGCGAAGGCAGGUUGCUGGGACGGUUCUGACACUAAGGCACGAAAGCGUAGGGAGCAAACGGGAUUAGAUACCCUAGUAGUC